rnacentral:lncRNA from 1 species
CUCUCUUCCUCCCACAGUCAAACAAAGUCUCCACGGGCUCCUUUCAGGCGGGGGACUAGAUCUGAGACGGGCUCCUUCCAGGCGACCGAUGGCGGCUCGGCGGCGGUGCACGCGGCAAGGAGGCCCCGGCGUCGGUGGCUCUGCAAGAGGAGGUCAAGGCGGCGGUGGCGCCGGCUACAGCUGAUGCGGCGGCUGGGGGAGACGGCGUGGUUUGGGGAAGGAUGCAGGGCGCUGACGGCUGUUGAGGGGGCUGUAGGCCGCGGCGGCGAGGGAGGCUGCGGCAACAGCGGAAGGCUGCGGCGGCGCCGGCUUUAAGAAGAAGCUGUAGGAGGCGGCGACGGCACAGGUUACUCCCCUUCCCCUCCCCUUGUCUUCCCUCCAUGGCAAGAGAGGCACGAGGAGCAUGCAUGCUUGCCGAGGAUGACGACGACGACAGCAAGCUACAUUGCUAGCUAGCUAUCCACGGAUUUGUUUUGUGAAUUAGAAAAAAAAUCCAAAAUUUCCGGUAUUCGGAAAUUUCAGUCCCCCCGGUAGAAAAUUCAAAACCGAAAUUGCAAACCCUAGUUAGAACUCGAGCCACCUUGUCUACAUGACUGACCAAUGUGACCCAAACCCUGCUUGUGAAUGAACAAUGCGUAGGUUAAUAUGGCAUGUGGUUCCCAUUAUUUCCACAUGCCAGAAAUGUGUCUUGGGGCUGACUGUCCACAUGGUAUUGUGGUCCCACAUGGCGCAUCUGUCCAGCCCAACUAAGGCCCGUUCGAAAAAUGUAGUAAUAGAUUAGUACAUGAUUAAUUAAUUAUUAAUUAUUAAAAAAUAUAAAAUAUAUUAAUAUGAUUUUUUUAAAAUAACUCUCCUAUAGAAAAUUUUUGAAAAAAAAAACACCGUUUAGUAGUUUGGAAAGCGUGCGCGUGAAAAACAGAAAGAUAAUUUAACUUAUGGGGGGCUACCGAACGUGGGCCUACUUGGCAGUAACUGACAUGCUUGUCCAUAUGUCAUAGCGGACGACACAUGUUCAGUCCUAUGCCUUGGAGCCUACCUAUCAAUGAACCAUACCAAUUUCAUUAAUUCAAGUAAAUUAUAGAGUGGGACAAUCACAAUGAAACUCAUUCAGUCACUUGUGACCAUGGGCACAACUAUUUAAAUAGGUUUAUUAUAGCAAGAGGUAUACAACUUUGCUGACAAGACAUAAUUCACAGACAUAUCUCCAUAUAUCAUUGUACCACAAUGGCACCCUGAUAAGAGGUUGUGGAGAAAAUCUCCGCAUAACUCUUUCAAAACCAUCCACACUAUGUCAAGGUUGCCCUCAUAGAUUGUCCCCAAGUAUCCGACCCUAUCGGGUAGUCUACCCUUGUUACACUGUGGGAAAUCUACAAGUUGGUUAGCACUGUAUCUCAGUCCAAUCCAACUCUGUCAUGCCCACUCUUACCUAGGUGCCUAGGAAAGGAGGAAGCUACACUGCAAGCCUAGUUGUUGCUGAUGCUAGCUCGUGGUAUGUACAGAAUGCCUAGAUAAAUUAUGGUAAGUGUCUCGAGCUCAUGGCUCAUCAAGUACCAAAUAUAUAGUCAAGUAAGUCAUUAUCCCAUUAGCGAAGUAGUUCUUCUAACCAUGGCUAAGCAUAGCCUAUUUCUAGCUUGGUCAACAUAAGGAACCCAAGCUAGUCCAAACAAGGCAAGGAAGAAGAGAAUCACCAAUCACAUAUUAAAAGGAAUAAUUUAUUUUAAAAAACAAAUCAACAGUAUAUAAUUUGUCCUUAUUUUUAUAAUUAUUGUUUCUAAAAGAUGUUAUAAUAUGACAUUAAGAAGGCCAAGAUGGCCAUGCAUGUGCAUGGUCCACCAAUUAGAUAAAAAACCUGUAAAAUUAAUUAAACAACAUACAAUUCAUACACAAUUAGGUCUUCCAUCAAAUUUUAUUUAUCUUUUCUAUCAAGGGGUUCCUAUUGCAUUAUUUGAGUUCAUAGCCAUUAAUCUUUAUGUUUUUAUAAAUAUGUUGUUAGAAACUGUACAUUCAAUUAUAUUUAAUUUGAACUAUUGCAUCCAUUAUAAUUAAAUCAGAAAUUAAAGACUCGUCCAAGAUAUAUUUAUCUUAAGAAAAUAUGACAUGUGGUGGCCAUAUGUCAUACGUAUACCUGUAAUAAAUUAGAGAAAAUCAUAAAUGUUCUCAGAAAAAAGAAAAAUAUAUUAUCCUUAUUUUUAAAGAAAUUAUAAUAGACAAGUUGAUAUGUAAUGCCCUUUCACCAAAAUAAUUUAUCUCGAUGAAGAAAUGUUGGGAGUGAUAGGCAUUUAUGUUGGUAAUUUAAUAGAGCAAAAAUCAUUUACUCAGUAAAACUUUUAAACCAUGAAUAAAUAUUGGGAGCGAUAAACAUUCCAGUGUUCAAAUGCUCUAAUAAAUUUAGUGGUCUCAUUUUGCUUUUAGGACAUGUUAGUCUAUUGUGGGCUAUAUCCUAAGCCACGUCAGCAGAAAAAAUUUCACAUACAAGGAUGGUCUUUUAAGCUGACUCUUCAUAAUUACAGACUAAUUAAUUCACUGCAUGCAAACAAGGAUCCAAUGUGAAUGUCAUCAUAGCAUUUUUUUUUAUGUUUCAUGUAUGUAAAAGAAAUAAUACCUACAGAUGCAAAACCAAACAAACAAAAUAGUAUACUAUGACACGCAUAUAUAUUUAUUGUUAUUUUAGCAAUAUAUCAACAUGAUUAUUCUCUAAUCUCCAUUACUGUGCAAUUAAUCAUACUACUCUGAAGGUAGAAAAAUGCAGUAUCAUCUCCGAUCAGCACUCGCACUCACACGUUUUGGUGGCUAAAACCUGACGAAACUGAAUAUUUCAGAUGAUGCGCCGUAAACUGAAGAACAAUACUGAACAGAGCAAAUUACAGAGUUUUGGUGUUGCGAACUGCUUGCAGCUUUUCUGAUUUCUCAUUCCUUUUAUUUGCUCCACGAAGGGAGUUCAGAUUUCAAAUAAUAUGCAGCACAAAGCAACACGGGCGGGGGCGAGCUGACCGACGGCCGGCUGGAGAAAGAUUGUGGUAGAGAUGGCGAGCUAACCGGUGGCCGCCGCUGGAGCC